rnacentral:lncRNA from 1 species
GUCCUAAGUGAUUUUGGUAUUUAAAAGCAGAAGAGUCCUAGGUGGUUUGUUCUAUGUUUAGUUUAGCCUAUAAAAGGCUUGUUAAAAAAAAAAAAAAAGAGAACGCAGAAUUUUUUUGAGAAUAAAAUAUUUCACAUCUCUUCUUUCUUCCUCCUCUUCUUCCUCUUCUUCCUCUUCUUCUCUCCCUACUUUCUCCCCUCUCUCCUCUUUUAUUCCCCUCUAAAUUAAAUUCUGCACUACGAUUCCAUUGCUGAAGUUCCAAUCUACACAACAACAUCCAUCGAUCCUACCUUGUGAUCAAUCCAAAACACAAACGUCUUUGAUGUCCAAGAAAAUUGAACUCGCUCCUUCAGGACUAUUUUGACGUGUCUCUUGUGAAAUCUCUUCAAUCAGUAUUUUUUUAAAAUUAUUAUUGAUUUUCUCUACGAGUUCCUAUUCCUUAAUUAUUAGAUUUGCAUGUUAAAGAUCUAGAGAUAUAUCCUAAUGAUAGGUGGUUUCUUAAUCGCCUUCAAUCCGUAGAACUUUAGAUCUAGAAUUUAUCCACCAUCUGCUUAAUUUCUUUUCUUUAAUCUGAUUAUAUCUUAAUCAUCGAGGUAGGAACUUGAAUAGAUCUGUUUGUCUGCUGAAUUAUUAGUUAAUUGCUGAUCUUAAUCUUUUUGCAUGGAUUUUAAAUUGCAUGUCGCAUCUUUAGAACCAUAGCAUCUGAAUUCUAGAUCAUGUCCCGCAUCAAUUUUUAGUAUCAGAGCCUAUAGGUUUGAUUAGGUGAUUAGAAUCUGCAUUAGGUUUAAAUUCUGCACUGAAAAUCUGCAAACAGAAUUUCAGAUCCGAUCUGAAAUCUUCUACAAAAAUCUGGGGCAAACGACAUCAGAAAAUUCUAAAAUUUGGUGGAAAGAAACCUAACUUACUAGAGAGUCUUCGGUUAAAAUUUUAUUAAAUUCUAAAACCUCUAGAGUUGUCAAUUUAUUCUAGUAAGCCGUCCUGUACCAGAAAUUCUGUACCCAGAAAUUCUGCAGCAAGCAACCUUGAAAAAUUUUAAGAGUCUUGUCCCUAGAAAACUCCUAAAAUCAUGAAAUUUUGUGACUAGAGUCGUGACUCAUCUAGGAAAUGGUGUUUUAAAUUUUGUUGCAAUCAGAGGUCCGUAGGUCAUCAAAAUUAGUAUUGAAAUCUGCUGAUCGUUAAGAAUUCUGCACAAAAAAAAAAAUUUCUGAAACUUUAGAUUUGGCGACUAGCGUAUGCCAACUAGAUCAGGGGUCGAGUACUUACGGUAUUCGCCAUCUACAUCUAGCAUGGAUCCCAAUAUAAUAGCUAUGUUUGAAAGCAUGAUGGAGCAAUUAACAAAUUUAAACACAGACUUUAAGAACUUGAGUGAUGACAUGCCAAAUACAAAUAAUGCAGUUCAAAACUUAACCGUUAGGGUAGUGGUUUUAGAAGAGGAACAUCCCAAUCAAGUUAAUUUUGAGACUCCUCAGGAGAACGUAGAAAUCCUAGAGCUCGUCAGGAAAUAGAUCCAAGCCAACCCCCUCUCAGAUGACCACCUAACCUUGAUACCCCACCUAUGCCCCUAGCUCAGAGAGGACCUUACAUUCCCCAGGGUCUAGAUAUGGGUCGUAGGUUAGAUAUGCGCCCCUAUCGCGAGCCCAUGGAUCAGGAUGAGCAUGUCCUAAGAAGUGUUAAGAUAGAAGCACCCAGCUUCAAUGGUUUGCUUGACUCUAAGGAGUAUUUGGACUGGGAGGCAGAUAUGGACCACUUCUUCGAGUGGUAUUACAUGUCUAAAGUCCGAAAAAUUAGGUUUGCCAAAAUGAAGUUAAUCAGUCAAGCUAAAUUGUAUUGGCAUAAUCUAGAGCAUCUAGCUGAGCAUAAGAGACAAGAGCCUAUAGAAACUUGGAAGGAGAUGAAAGAAAAGCUGCGUGAGAAAUACCUUCCCACAUCCUACAAACAACAUCUCCUAGAUCAAUGGCAGAGAAUGACUCAAGGAAAUCGACCUGUCUCGGAGUACAUCGCGAAAUUUGAUGAAUUCCUUAUACGAUGUAGUGUCACCGAGAAUAGGGAUGUCACCUAAUCAAGAUUCAGAGCUGGUCUCCGAGAGGACAUCCAGCGAGAGCUAUUCUUACAUGAGGUGACCUCUUUAGAGCAUGCCUACCAGCUACCAUAGAAUGUUGAAAGAUUUCAAAGAUAUCCGAUUUCUCGUCGAUCUGACCUGAGCCGACCUACCCUUUCAAGUCCUAGACCUAGCACUAGUCAAAUCCCUACCUAUCGACCUUCGAAUGUGGAUUCUCCAGUGAGAAGAAAUGAUAAGGGAAAGGGAAUACUAGAUAUAUCGAAGACUAGUGGACCUAUCACACAGUCCAGAUGUUUUAAGUGCUAAGGCUAUGGACAUCUAUCUACACAAUGUCUUUUUAGAGCCUUACACUUAGGAGAAACUGAAAAGAAAGAGCCUGAGUGUGUUGAAACUAAAAAAGGAGAAGUUUAUGAGGCUAAUCCCAAGUUAGCUGAAGAAUUUAAGGAAGAUGAAGAUGUUCUAGGCUAUAUUCGGAUAGAGCAAGAUUCUAAAGAAAGAUUGGGAGUGGUCAAAUGUAUAGUCGCUCAGCCAAAAGAAAGUGAAGAUUGCUGACAAACGACUAUUUUUCAUACCUACGUUAAGCAUGGUGAUGAAGCAUGUCAGGUGAUCAUAAAUAGUGGAAGUUGUAUAAAUGCAAUCUCCACUGAUGCUGUAUCCCAUCUAGGUUUAGCACCUGUAGAUCAUCCGAGUCCCUAUAAAGUCUAAUGGGUAGAUGCAUCAUCUAUCCCAAUCAAGCAUAGGUGCCUAGUUCCUAUUCAAUUUCAUUCCUAUCAAGCUAAAGUCUGGUAUAAUGUACUACCAAUGGAGGUUGGUAGUAUUAUUUUAGGAAGGUUGUGGUUAUACGACCAGGAUAUCACACUCUUUGGAUGAUCAAAUUCGUGUAGUUUUCAGGAUAAAGGAAAGAAAAUUACGGUCAAAUCCUCUCCACCCAAGACUACUUCUAAGAAAGAAAAUGUGGGAGCCAAAGUUAGCACUAAGAAAAAGGAUCUACAUUUAAUCAGUGUUAAAGAAUUUGAGAAGGAAAUGACUGAAGGAUCAUCGAUUUGGAUCUUAGCUGUUAAGAAAGUUCAUGAAGAACCCCGAUCGAGUAUCUCUAGGAGAUAGUUCCCCUCCUUGAUGAAUUUAAGGAUGUUUUCCCCGAAGAUCUCCCGAACCACUUACCACCGAUGCGUGAUAUUCAGCACGCUAUAGAUCUAGUUUCGAGAUCCACUCUACCACAUUUGUCACAUUACCGAUUAAAUCUUACUGAGCAUGCUGAGUUAAAAAGACAAGUUGAAGAGCUUCUAAAAAAAGAGUUUGUUAGAGAGUUUGAGUCCAUGUGUGGUGCCCGCGCUUCUUACUCCGAAGAAAGAUGGUACUUGGAGAAUGUGCGUAGAUAGCGGCUCCAUUAAUAAGAUUACUGUUAAGUAUCGUUUGCCAAUUCUCCAACUAGAUGAUAUGCUGGAUAUGAUGGCAGGAUCCAUUAUCUUUUCAAAGAUAGACCUUAAAAGUGGAUACCAUCAGGUGAGAAUUAAGCUAGAAGAUGAAUGAAAAACUGUCUUCAAGAUGAAGGAUGGUCUUUACGAAUGGUUGAUCAUGCCUUUAGGCUUGUCCAAUGCAUCUAGUACUUUUAUGAAGAUAAUGACUUAGGUACCACGGCCAUUCAUUGGUAUAUUCAUUGUCAUAUACUUCGAUGAUAUCCUCAUUUAUAGUCGAUCUAGGGAUGAUCACUUAGACCACCUUCGACAGGUUUGUUUGACCCUUAAAGCUGAGAACCUUUAUGCGAACUUAAAGAAAUGUGACUUUAUGACUGAUCGAAUAAUUUUCUUAAGUUUCGUAGUGACUCCUGAGGAUGUAUCUGCUGAUCCUGAAAAGAUCAAAGCGAUAGUUGAGUGGCCAAUGCCUCAGAGUAUACACGACGUUUGUAGUUUUCAUGGCCUAGCGACCUUCUACCGCCAAUGCAUUAGAGGCUUUAGUACUAUCAUGGCCCCUAUUACGAAUUGCAUUAGGAAGAAAACCUUUGAGUGGACAACAGCUGCCAAUAAAGCUUUCCAAGAGAUUAAAGAGAAAAUGACCCAUGCACCUAUUUUGCAUCUUCCUGAUUUUUCAAAGGUUUUUAAGGUUGCAUGUGAUGCAUCAGGUGUGGUAUAGGAGGAAUUUUGAGUCAAGAAAGUCAUCCUGUGGCAUAUUUUAGUGAAAAAUUAAAUGAUGCAAAACUUAAGUAUUCUACAUAUGACCAGAAAUUUUAUGCGAUAGUUCAGGCUUUGAAAUAUUGGAGACAUUAUUUGCUACCGCAAGAAAUUAUCCUUUAUUCUGACCAUGAAGCUCUUAGGUUUCUAAACUCCCAAAAGAAACUAAACCCUAGACACGCUAAAUGGGUUGAAUUUCUUCAAGCCUAUACUUUUGUUCUAAAGCGUCGAACGGGAGUAGAAAAUCGAGCUAUGGAUGCACUCAAUCGGAGAGUUUCUCUACUUUCGACUGUUAGUGUUGAAGUUAUAGGGUUUGAAAAGCUUAAAGAAGAAUAUGUAGAGUGCCCUGACUUUAAGAACGUUUAUUCCUUAUUUCAGCAAGGACCAUCUAAAGAGUAUAAUGAUUAUGUUUUGCAAGAUGGCUAUUUGUUUAGAAACAAUAAAUUGUGUAUCCCCCGAACAUCUGUCCGAGAUUUUCUUGUGUGGGAAUUGCAUGCUGGCGGACUAGUUGGACACUUUGAUAAAAAUAAGACCAUUGAGGAUGUAGAGAAUCAAUUCUAUUGACCUAGUUUGAAGCAUGAUAUUGCCCAGAUAGUUAUCCAAUAUCAGACUUGCAUUUUGGCAAAACAACACAAGCAAAACACUGGACUUUAUACCCCACUACUUGUACCUGACUGUCCAUGGCAAGAUGUUAGCAUGAAUUUUGUUUUGGGAUUGCCACGAACUGCUAGAAAGAAUGAUUCAAUUUGCGUGGUAGUGGAUAAGUUUUCAAAAAUGGCCCAUUUUUUAUCUUGUCCCAAAAUGUCUGAUGCUUCAAAAGUAGCUCGAAUAUAUUUUGAUGAAAUCAUUAAGUUGCAUGGAUUGUCGAAGACAAUCAUAUCUGAUAGGGAUGUUAGAUUAAUGAACUAUUUUUAGAAAAUCUUAUGGCAUUUAAUGAGGACAGAACUAAAGUUUUCUUCAUCAUUCACCCAUAAACUGAUGGCCAAACUGAAGUCGUAAAUAGAAGUUUAGAAAAUUUACUUUCAUGUUUGGUAGGUAAGUAAUUGGGAUCUUCUUUUACCUCAAGCUAAGUUUGCAUAUAAUAGUUCUAUCAAUAGGUCCAUUGGCAUGAGUCCAUUUGAGAUAGUGUAUGGUUAUAAACCUAGGAAGCCAGUUGACCUUAUCCCAUUGCCAUUGCAUGCUAAAGUGUCAAAGCCAGCAGAAUCAUUUGCACAGCAUGUUAGAAGUCUGCAUAAAUAAAUUUGCAAAAAGAUUUAUAUCAGCAAUCAACUAUAUGAACACUUAGCAGAUUCUCACAGAUAAGUUCAGGAUUUUGCCGAGGGUGAUUAUAUUUAAUACAGAUUAGGCCAGAACGGUUUCCUCCAGGAAUCGUUAAGAAAUUACAAGCACGUGGAGCAGGUCCAUUCAAGAUCUUAAAAAAACUAGGAUCGAAUGCAUAUAUUACAAAUUUACCAUCUGAUUAGGGUAUUAGCUCUCCCUUUAACAUUUCAGAUCUAAUAAGAUAUAAGGAGCCAAUAAUAAUAUCCAGUGAUCCGUUUGAGCCUGAUCCUUCUAUUGAGAGUGAACCCCAACCUGAAUGCCCACAGUCCAAAAUAACUAAGAGACAUGAUCAAAUUGAAAGUAUUCUAGAUGAGCAAGUUGUUUCCACCAGGAAUCGAGACUACCAGUGAUAUCUGGUUCGAUGGCAAGGGAGAAUGGAGACUGAAGAUACCUGGAUUACCCCAGAGCAGCUGCAGGGGAUUGAUCUAGAUCUGCUAGAGCAUUAUCAGAGUAGAGCCGAUAUUUCCUUGAUGGAGCCAAGUUCUUCGCUUCCCAAGGGAAUUGGUGCGGACACCAUCGCUAGUGAUGACUGAUCGGAGCCAACUUGGACACAUGGACGACACCAGAAUACCAGAUCGACAUCUAUUUGGCUUAAUUAAUUAAAUUGGAUCUUGAUUUAGUUCUUUAUUUCUUCUAUUUUGAGUUUUAGUUAUGAGAUCUUAUAAAUCUAGCCCAAUUAAGUCUAUUGGAUCAGAUCUUGUUAGCCAGUUUAUUUUUAUUUGAUUGAUUCUAGUCUAUUUUAGUUAGACUAGGACUAGUUUAAUUUAAAUUGAAAUUUUGGAUAGGGAUAAGGAGUCCUAAGUGGUUUUGAUGUUUAAAAGCAAAAGAGUCCCAAGUGGUUUGUUCUAUGUUUAGUUUAGCCUAUAAAAGGCUUGUUAAAAAAAAAAACAGAGAACACAAAUUUUUUUUUAGAAUAAAAUAUUUCACAUCUCCUUUUUCUUCCUCCUCUUCUUCCUCUUAUUAUCUCUCUACUUUCUCCCCUCUCUCCUCUUUUAUUCUCCUUUAAAUUAAAUUCUGCACUACGAUUUCAUUGCUGAAGUUUCAAUCUAUGCAACGACAUCCAUCGACCCUACCUUGCGAUCAAUCUAGAACAUGAACGUCUUUGAUCUCCAACGGAAUUGAACUCGCUCCUCCAGGGCUUAUUUGACAUAUCUCUUGUGAAAUCUCUUCAAUCGGUAUUUUUUUAAAAUUAUUAUUGAUUUUCUCUGCGAGUUCCUAUUCCUUAAUUAUUAGAUUUGCAUGUUAAAGAUCUAGAGAUAUAUCCUAAUCAUAGGUGGUUUCUUAAUUGCCUACGAUCCGUAGAACUUUAGAUCUAGAAUUCAUCCAUCAUCUGCUUAAUUUUUUUUCUUUAAUCUGAUUAUAUCUUAAUCAUCGAGGUAAGAACUUGAAUAGAUCUGUUUGUCUGCUGAAUUAUUAGUUAAUUGCUAAUCUUAAUCUUUUUGCAUGGGUUUUAAAUUGCAUGUCACAUCUUUAAAACCAUAGCAUCUGAAUUCUAGAUCAUGUCCUGCAUCGCUUUCACUCCACUGAAUAUAUAUUUAUUUGCUUGAUGAUUAACCCGAAGUAGUAAGCACAAGCCCAAAACAAUGUGGGUAAUACCAAAACAAUCGUGUUGACUAACUCAAAGAUGGCCCAGCAAACAAUACUGACCACCACAAUAUUUAUACAAGAUGAAUACAGGUACAAUC